UUGCUGUCACUUAUAGAUGGACCCGCGCCGUAUUAGCUAGUUGGUGGGGUAACGGCCUACCAAGGCGACGAUACGUAGCCGACCUGAGAGGGUGAUCGGCCACACUGGAACUGAGACACGGUCCAGACUCCUACGGGAGGCAGCAGUAGGGAAUCUUCCGCAAUGGGCGAAAGCCUGACGGAGCAACGCCGCGUGAGUGAUGAAGGUCUUCGGAUCGUAAAGCUCUGUUGUUAGGGAAGAACAAAUGUGUAAGUAACUGUGCACAUCUUGACGGUACCUAACCAGAAAGCCACGGCUAACUACGUGCCAGCAGCCGCGGUAAUACGUAGGUGGCAAGCGUUAUCCGGAAUUAUUGGGCGUAAAGCGCGCGUAGGCGGUUUUUUAAGUCUGAUGUGAAAGCCCACGGCUCAACCGUGGAGGGUCAUUGGAAACUGGAAAACUUGAGUGCAGAAGAGGAAAGUGGAAUUCCAUGUGUAGCGGUGAAAUGCGCAGAGAUAUGGAGGAACACCAGUGGCGAAGGCGGCUUUCUGGUCUGCAACUGACGCUGAUGUGCGAAAGCGUGGGGAUCAAACAGGAUUAGAUACCCUGGUAGUCCACGCCGUAAACGAUGAGUGCUAAGUGUUAGGGGGUUUCCGCCCCUUAGUGCUGCAGCUAACGCAUUAAGCACUCCGCCUGGGGAGUACGGUCGCAAGACUGAAACUCAAAGGAAUUGACGGGGACCCGCACAAGCGGUGGAGCAUGUGGUUUAAUUCGAAGCAACGCGAAGAACCUUACCAAAUCUUGACAUCCUUUGACCGCUCUAGAGAUAGAGUUUUCCUCUUCGGAGGACAAAGUGACAGGUGGUGCAUGGUUGUCGUCAGCUCGUGUCGUGAGAUGUUGGGUUAAGUCCCGCAACGAGCGCAACCCUUGAACUUAGUUGCCAUCAUUCAGUUGGGCACUCUAAGUUGACUGCCGGUGACAAACCGGAGGAAGGUGGGGAUGACGUCAAAUCAUCAUGCCCCUUAUGAUUUGGGCUACACACGUGCUACAAUGGACAAUACAAAGGGCAGCGAAACCGCGAGGUCAAGCAAAUCCCAUAAAGUUGUUCUCAGUUCGGAUUGUAGUCUGCAACUCGACUACAUGAAGCUGGAAUCGCUAGUAAUCGUAGAUCAGCAUGCUACGGUGAAUACGUUCCCGGGUCUUGUACACACCGCCCGUCACACCACGAGAGUUUGUAACACCCGAAGCCGGUGGAGUAACCAUUUUGGAGCUAGCCGUCGAAGGUGGGACAAAUGAUUGGGGUGAAGUCGUAACAAGGUAGCCGUAUCGGAAGGUGCGGCUGGAUCACCUCCUUUCUA
rnacentral:rRNA from 1 species